CCUGGCUCAGGAUGAACGCUGGCGGCGUGCCUAACACAUUCAAGUCGAACGAACCGUAGAAAUACGGUGAGUGGCGGACGGGUGAGUAACGCGUAAGCAAUCUGCCUUUGUGUGUGGAAUAACAACCGGAAACAAGUUGCUAAUACCGCAUAACGCACAGAGAUCGCAUGUUUUUUGUGCCAAAGAUUUAUCGCACGAAGAUGAGCUUGCGUCCGAUUAGAUAGUUGGCGGGGUAACGGCCCACCAAGUCGACGAUCGGUAGCCGGACUGAGAGGUUGAACGGCCACAUUGGAACUGAGAUACGGUCCAGACUCCUACGGGAGGCAGCAGUGGGGAAUAUUGGGCAAUGGACGAAAGUCUGAACCCCCAGCGACGCCGCGUGAGGGAAGAAGGUCUUCGGAUUGUAAACCUUAGUCAACAGGGACGAAGCAAGUGACGGUACCUGUGGAGGAAGCCACGGCUAACUACGUGCCAGCAGCAGC
rnacentral:rRNA from 1 species